rnacentral:rRNA from 1 species
CCUACGGGUGGCUGCAGUGGGGAAUAUUGGACAAUGGGCGAAAGCCUGAUCCAGCCAUGCCGCGUGUGUGAAGAAGGCCUUCGGGUUGUAAAGCACUUUCAGUGGGGAAGAAAGCCUUGGGGCUAAUACCCUCGAGGAAGGACAUCACCCACAGAAGAAGCACCGGCUAACUCCGUGCCAGCAGCCGCGGUAAUACGGAGGGUGCGAGCGUUAAUCGGAAUUACUGGGCGUAAAGCGCGCGUAGGCGGUCUGAUAAGCCGGUUGUGAAAGCCCCGGGCUCAACCUGGGAACGGCAUCCGGAACUGUCAGGCUAGAGUGCAGGAGAGGAAGGUAGAAUUCCCGGUGUAGCGGUGAAAUGCGUAGAGAUCGGGAGGAAUACCAGUGGCGAAGGCGGCCUUCUGGACUAACACUGACGCUGAGGUGCGAAAGCGUGGGUAGCAAACAGGAUUAGAUACCCCAGUAGUC